GGCUUUUCCGCAUCUGAUCGGAAAUAAACGGAGAGAAUGUUCGGCAAUGACAUCCACAAGGAUGUUGCGAGAUACACACAGAGUUUGAGACAUUAUAGCUGGUGGUUGAAAAGAAACUUCAUAUCUAUAGCUGUCCCUGGUACUGUUUUCUAUUUUAUUUACAACGAUUUGCAGAGAACUCGUAAAUUUAAAGCUAAAAAGAAAUUAGAGGCAUUGCAGACAGGAAAUUUGGAAGUACCACUUGAACAAUAAAAUGGGGAAAAUGGAAAAAUUUACCAUGUUGAAUCCUAAAUUCUAUAGAUAUUAUGCUGGUUUAGCAACAAUUAUGGUACUAUGGAAGUUUGGAGGCUGGUUUACAGAGAAAGUUGACAAUAACAUGAAUCUUUUCAAAAACAAAAGCAAAUUAUUUGGAGGACGUACUGUUUAUCCAGAAGAAAGGUGGUGAUGCUUAUUUGUCAAAGGAAAUGUAAUCUUUUGUGUGUUUAAAGAAAAUGUAAAAUAAAAAGAGCCUUUUGUUAUAUGAAAAGAAA